UACGAAGGGUGCAAGCGUUACUCGGAAUUACUGGGCGUAAAGCGUGCGUAGGUGGUUCGUUAAGUCUGUCGUGAAGGCCCCGGGCUCAACCUGGGAAUGGCGAUGGAUACUGGCGGGCUAGAGUGCGGUAGAGGGUGGUGGAAUUCCCGGUGUAGCAGUGAAAUGCGUAGAUAUCCGGAGGAACACCGGUGGCGAAGGCGGCUUCCUGGACCGACACUGACGCUGAGGCGCGAAAGCUAGGGGAGCAAACGGG
rnacentral:rRNA from 1 species